rnacentral:misc_RNA from 1 species
GAUGAAGAACGUAGCGAAAUGCGAUAAGUAAUGUGAAUUGCAGAAUUCAGUGAAUCAUCGAAUCUUUGAACGCACAUUGCGCCCCUUGGUAUUCCGGGGGGCAUGCCUGUUCGAGCGUCAUUUCAACCCUCAAGCUCUGCUUGGUAUUGGGCUCCGUCCUCAGGGACGCGCCUCAAAGACCUCGGCGGUGGCGUCUUGCCUCAAGCGUAGUAGAAAACACCUCGCUUUGGAGUGCUGGGCGUCGCCCGCCGGACGAACCUUUGAAUUUUUCUCAAGGUUGACCUCGGAUCAGGUAGGGAUACCCGCUGAACUUAAGCAUAUCAAUAAGCGGAGGA